UCCCCGUUUAAGCGAGGCAGUCUGUCCAGAGUGCUUCGAACUCUCGUUCGAGUGGCAACAGGACACAGGGGUUGCGCUCGUUGCGGGACUUAACCCAACAUCUCACGACACGAGCUGGCGACAGCCACGCAGCACCUGCGCACGCUCCCCUUGCGGGGUCGUUCCGCUUUCACGGUUCUACCACAUGCAUGUCAAGGCCAGGUAAGGUUCUUCGCGUUGCAUCGAAUUAAGCCACAUACUCCACCGCUUGUGCAGGCCCCCGUCAAUUUCUUUGAGUUUUAAUCUUGCGACCGUACUCCCCAGGCGGCGCGUUUAUCGCGUUAGCUUCGCCACGGAAGGGGCCGAUUCCUCCCACAGCAAACGCGCACCGUUUAGGGCUAGGACUAC
rnacentral:misc_RNA from 1 species